rnacentral:rRNA from 1 species
GAGUUUGAUUAUGGCUCAGGACGAACGCUGGCGGCGCGCCUAACACAUGCAAGUCGAGCGGAGAUAUGUAAGGAGUAAUCCGAGCAUAUUUUAGCGGUGGACGGGAGAGUAACGCGUGAGUGACCUGCCUCUUACAGGGGGAUAACGUACCGAAAGGUACACUAAUACCGCAUAAGACCACAUGGCCGCAUGGCCGAGGGGUCAAAGGAGCAAUCCGGUAAGAGAUGGGCUCGCGUCCGAUUAGAUAGUUGGUGAGGUAACGGCCCACCAAGUCUGCGAUCGGUAGCCGACCUGAGAGGGUGAACGGCCACAUUGGAACUGAGAGACGGUCCAAACUCCUACGGGAGGCAGCAGUGGGGAAUAUUGGGCAAUGGGGGAAACCCUGACCCAGCGACGCCCGUCGUGAAGGAAGAAGGCCUUCGGGUUGUAAACUUCUGUUCUUGGUGAAGAGGGGAAGACG